AACGCAUAUUGCGCCCUUUGGUAUUCCGAAGGGCAUGCCUGUUCGAGCGUCAUUAUCAACCCUCAAGCCUGGCUUGUCAUUGAACCUCUGGUCGUUAAAAAGACAGGUUCGAAAGAUAAUGACGGUGUCGCGAUCGACCCUAGAUGCAACGAGCUUCACAGCACGCAUGUUAGUGGCCGGCCGGCCCCGGUCUUAACCCUAUUUCAAUGGUUGACCUCGGAUCAGGUAGGAAUACCCGCUGAACUUAA
rnacentral:misc_RNA from 1 species